rnacentral:rRNA from 1 species
GAGCGGAUGAGAGGAGCUUGCUCCUGGAUUCAGCGGCGGACGGGUGAGUAAUGCCUAGGAAUCUGCCUGGUAGUGGGGGACAACGUUUCGAAAGGAACGCUAAUACCGCAUACGUCCUACGGGAGAAAGCAGGGGACCUUCGGGCCUUGCGCUAUCAGAUGAGCCUAGGUCGGAUUAGCUAGUUGGUGAGGUAAUGGCUCACCAAGGCGACGAUCCGUAACUGGUCUGAGAGGAUGAUCAGUCACACUGGAACUGAGACACGGUCCAGACUCCUACGGGAGGCAGCAGUGGGGAAUAUUGGACAAUGGGCGAAAGCCUGAUCCAGCCAUGCCGCGUGUGUGAAGAAGGUCUUCGGAUUGUAAAGCACUUUAAGUUGGGAGGAAGGGUUGUAGAUUAAUACUCUGCGAUUUUGACGUUACCGACAGAAUAAGCACCGGCUAACUCUGUGCCAGCAGCCGCGGUAAUACAGAGGGUGCAAGCGUUAAUCGGAAUUACUGGGCGUAAAGCGCGCGUAGGUGGUUUGUUAAGUUGGAUGUGAAAUCCCCGGGCUCAACCUGGGAACUGCAUCCAAAACUGGCAAGCUAGAGUAUGGUAGAGGGUGGUG